AUUGAACGCUGGCGGCAUGCCUUACACAUGCAAGUCGAACGGUAACGCGGGGCAACCUGGCGACGAGUGGCGAACGGGUGAGUAAUAUAUCGGAACGUGCCCAAUAGUGGGGGAUAGCCCGGCGAAAGCCGGAUUAAUACCGCAUACGACCUGAGGGUGAAAGCGGGGGAUCGCAAGACCUCGCGCGAUAGGAGCGGCCGAUGUCGGAUUAGCUAGUUGGUGGGGUAAAGGCCUACCAAGGCGACGAUCCGUAGCUGGUCUGAGAGGAUGAUCAGCCACACUGGGACUGAGACACGGCCCAGACUCCUACGGGAGGCAGCAGUGGGGAAUUUUGGACAAUGGGGGCAACCCUGAUCCAGCCAUUCCGCGUGAGUGAAGAAGGC
rnacentral:rRNA from 1 species